ensembl:lncRNA
UUCCCAGUAACAGCUUUUAUUGAGUAGGUAUAUAAACAAACACAGCUUUGCUCCAUAUGUGGAUCUGAACUCUGGUGUCUUGCAUUGUAGAAAAGUAGGAAAUGCAGCAGGGUGUCCCACAGACCUCCAUACACCACAGUCUGCAAUGCAGGACUAUGCGCAGGAGUUGCUGGGAUCAGCUCCUUUGGCUUGGUAUCCUUCCAGACUGGCUGCACCAGGUUCUGAAGUCUCCAAAGGCUUCAGGAUGCGUGGAACCAGCUUCAAGUUCCAGUAAAGCAAUGCCCAAACACCUUGAAGGCUUAACUUAAGAGAGGGUUGAUACUAAAGGAGCUACAGGACGCACAUUAAGAACAUGAACAUUUGACUUGUGCAUUCACAUCGGUUCAAAUGUUCCAAGUUUGACCUGAGUUAGGACAGAGCAGCCACCUCAGCAAAGCUUUCCCAUGAAGGCUUUACUGGGUAGCCAGGUGCCUUUGGCACAAAGGCAGAGCCAACAUUUUUACCCACUACCACCACAACCACCACCCUGCCCAGAGGAAAAUGGUAGCCCUAGAAGCCACCUUCUACUUCAGCUGCCACAAAUGGAUAUUUUUGCAUCAUUUUAACUGAAACAGACCACUUUCUUACAGCAUUCCCUGCAGGUGGACACAAUCAAACAUUAAAAGGUAUUUUGGAGGAAUGUAAAAAUGAAUUUAGCAGCUGUCUUUUGACAUUAAGUUCUUGUUGUUUUGAUUUUGUUUUUUAAUUAAAGUAAAGCAGGUUAUGAGGAGCCCUUUGGAAACUCACUGACUUUCUACAUACUUGCUUAGAAUUUGAGCAGAAAAAAAAAGUCAUGAUGCUUUCAGCUGGGGUCAAGCUUCUACACAAAGGAGCAGAACAGUGUGAAAGAUGUAUGUAUAAACAGCCGAUGUUCCCAAUGUAUGGACUUUCCAGUCCAGGAAAUUAAUGACAACUCAGAACCCUGUUCCUCUACAAUUUCCUCCGCUAAUGCACAUGAACCAGUUAGAGCACACAAUUAGGAGAAGGCUGCCUGUUUCCAAUUAGGCCUGAAGAGAGGACCUGCCUCCUUCCUAAAUGAAUUGCAGAUAAAGCUUGCCAGAAGUGGGCCUCCUUCUGUCUGUGCUGGCUUAAAUCAGGGGCAGCAGCUUGCAGCAUCACACCAGGGCAAACAGGGUCCAGCCUGCCCCAUGACUGCUGCCUGCCUGCCCGCCCAAGGCUCCCAUCCUGCCCUGGGAGGGCAGCCACAGUUCACUCAGGCCAGCUUUGUCCUCUCUUUUUCCACCAUUUUCCAACAUUCCUUGGUUUAUAAUGCUUAGAACAUCUGUAUUUAAUUCCCUUCCUUCAGUCUGGAGGGUCGGUAGUCUUACUUUCAAAAUCUUUGUCAAGAAAAUGAAGAUGAUGGAGCAAUUUGAAGGGGAAUGGCAAGUUAUUUUUGCUGACAGGAUUUCAACAAAUAACAGUUCUGGCUAAUUAUGCUGUAAUUGAUUUGGCAUGUUUGUAUGGACUUCGAGGGACUCUUUCGUGUUUUAAUCCAUUACAAAGGGAUUUUGAAAUAUGGGCUGUUUUGCUUUAAAAAAGAGAAACAAAGUAAAUAAAAUUGGGCAAUUCAAUUAAUUUACUCAACUCCCUCAGGGCCAGGCAAUAACAGUUAUGACUGAAAAAAACAGAUAUUCCCAUAUGAGGAGUGCUCUGAGGAGCUGUAAGAAAGCAGAUGACCAGGAUAACUGGGAGCUGACUGCUCAGCAUUAGCUGCAGCCCAGUUUUUGCCAGCAGUCACAACAGAGCUUUUUCUGUCCUUUUAAUGACCAAAAACCUUUGUUUCACAAUAUUUUUUUUUUUAAUGAUCAUUUUUAAAAGGAGGGAAAAUAGCUGUGCAUUCAUGUGGGAAAGAAAUAUCUCAGUUUCAGAUCCACAUGAAGGAGAAUUUAUGAAGUACAGCCUCUCCCUUCUUUUUCCCCCAUGCAUUUCAGAAGCUAGGCCAAACUUGCAUUUCAACCUAAUACUGGGAGAAAUCUUUCUUCUUGUCCAGGAUGUUCUAAAAUUGUCCAGUCCUUGUUCUGCAGCAUCUGGCACGGGUCACCUCUUGCAGUCAAGCUAUAAAUGAUGAACAUGAACCUGAAGAAGUGAGAAAAAAAAACUCUGC